AGGUCUCUGUGGAUGAUGA
rnacentral:misc_RNA from 1 species